UUGAUACAUAAACAAUCAUAUUUUAUUAAUUAAAAUAUUAAAACUUUCUUUAAUUAAAACAUAAUUUUAAGUUAUUUAAAAACAGUUUUAAGUUAUUAAAAAAUGUGUUGAGUUGUAUCAAGGCUGAAAAUAAAGAAUGCUGUAAUUGUGAUGAUGUUAUUUCUGAAGAUCUUCAAAAAAAUUAUACAUUCAUAUGUUGUAAAAAAAGACUUUGCUAUUCAUGUGCUAAGCUAUACGAAUACGCUUAUUUACGUAAUUGUCCAUGUUGUGAAGGGAAUCUUAAAAGUGCUUUUAAUGUUAAAGCAAAAUGGAAAAAAGUGAAAUGUAGAAAAUGUAAUGCUAAAAGAGGAAUAAACAGCAUUUCGCCAUUUUGUCCAGACCUGUAUUGCGACGAUUGCAUCAAAACAAUAGAUAAAAAAAAUCACAUUUGCGAUCAUUGAAAAUACGAAAUUUCUAUUAAAAUUUUUUUGUUUUUGAAACUGUCUGGAAAUAUUAAAAUAC